rnacentral:tRNA from 5 species
ACUUAAAUAGCUUAAUUAAGAGUGUAAUAUUGAAGAUAUUAAGGUAAUAAAUUUAUUUUUAAGUA